AGCGAACGCUGGCGGCAGGCCUAACACAUGCAAGUCGAGCGCCCAGCAAUGGGAGCGGCAGACGGGUGAGUAACACGUGGGGAUCUACCUAUCGGUACGGAAUAACCCAGGGAAACUUGGAUUAAUACCGUAUACGCCCUUUUGGGGAAAGAUUUAUCGCCGAUAGAUGAACCCGCGUCGGAUUAGCUAGUUGGUGGGGUAAAGGCCCACCAAGGCGACGAUCCGUAGCUGGUCUGAGAGGAUGAUCAGCCACACUGGGACUGAGACACGGCCCAGACUCCUACGGGAGGCAGCAGUGGGGAAUAUUGGACAAUGGGGGCAACCCUGAUCCAGCCAUGCCGCGUGAGUGAUGAAGGCCUUAGGGUUGUAAAGCUCUUUCGCCGGUGAAGAUAAUGACGGUAACCGGAGAAGAAGCCCCGGCUAACUUCGUG
rnacentral:rRNA from 1 species